rnacentral:SRP_RNA from 1 species
CGCGGAUCCUCGCGUGACGGUAUCGCACGAACCUCCCCAGGGCAGAAAUGCAGCAAGGAUAAGGGCGCUCUGCCGGGUACGCGGGGAUUCUUAGUA